rnacentral:rRNA from 1 species
CCUACGGGGGGCUGCAGUGGGGAAUAUUGGACAAUGGGGGGAACCCUGAUCCAGCCAUGCCGCGUGUGUGAAGAAGGCCCUCGGGUUGUAAAGCACUUUCAGUGAGGAAGAACGCCUGGUGGUUAAUACCCAUCAGGAAAGACAUCACUCACAGAAGAAGCACCGGCUAACUCCGUGCCAGCAGCCGCGGUAAUACGGAGGGUGCGAGCGUUAAUCGGAAUUACUGGGCGUAAAGCGCGCGUAGGUGGCUUGAUAAGCCGGUUGUGAAAGCCCCGGGCUCAACCUGGGAACGGCAUCCGGAACUGUCAAGCUAGAGUGCAGGAGAGGAAGGUAGAAUUCCCGGUGUAGCGGUGAAAUGCGUAGAGAUCGGGAGGAAUACCAGUGGCGAAGGCGGCCUUCUGGACUGAAACUGACACUGAGGUGCGAAAGCGUGGGUAGCAAACAGGAUUAGAUACCCUAGUAGUC